UACGUAGGGUGCGAGCGUUAAUCGGAAUUACUGGGCGUAAAGCGUGCGCAGGCGGUGAUGUAAGACCGAUGUGAAAUCCCCGGGCUUAACCUGGGAACUGCAUUGGGUGACUGCAUCGCUCGAGUAUGGCAGAGGGGGGUAGAAUUCCACGUGUAGCAGUGAAAUGCGUAGAGAUGUGGAGGAAUACCGAUGGCGAAGGCAGCCCCCUGGGUCAAUACUGACGCUCAUGCACGAAAGCGUGGG
rnacentral:rRNA from 1 species